UACCGAAGAAUGUUAUCACGGGAGACACACGGCGGGUGCUAACGUCCGUCGUGAAGAGGGAAACAACCCAGACCGCCAGCUAAGGUCCCAAAGUCAUGGUUAAGUGGGAAACGAUGUGGGAAGGCCCAGACAGCCAGGAUGUUGGCUUAGAAGCAGCCAUCAUUUAAAGAAAGCGUAAUAGCUCACUGGUCGAGUCGGCCUGCGCGGAAGAUGUAACGGGGCUAAACCAUGCACCGAAGCUGCGGCAGCGACGCUCAGGCGUUGUUGGGUAGGGGAGCGUUCUGUAAGCCUGCGAAGGUGGCCUGUGAGGGCUGCUGGAGGUAUCAGAAGUGCGAAUGCUGACAUAAGUAACGAUAAUGCGGGUGAAAAACCCGCACGCCGGAAGACCAAGGGUUCCUGUCCAACGUUAAUCGGGGCAGGGUGAGUCGACCCCUAAGGCGAGGCCGAAAGGCGUAGUCGAUGGGAAACAGGUUAAUAUUCCUGUACUUGGUGUUACUGCGAAGGGGGGACGGAGAAGGCUGGGUUAUCCGGGCGACGGUUGUCCCGGUUUAAGCGUGUAGGUGGGUGUUUUUGGUAAAUCCGGAACACCGUUAACACUGAGGCGUGACGACGAGUCACUACGGUGAUGAAGUAACCGAUGCCAAGCUUCCAGGAAAAGCCUCUAAGCUCCAGGUAACACGAAAUCGUACCCCAAACCGACACAGGUGGUCAGGUAGAGAAUACCCAGGCGCUUGAGAGAACUCGGGUGAAGGAACUAGGCAAAAUGGUGCCGUAACUUCGGGAGAAGGCACGCUGGCGUUGGUGAAGGGACUGGCUCCCGGAGCUGAUACCAGUCGCAGAUACCAGCUGGCUGCAACUGUUUAAUAAAAACACAGCACUGUGCAAACACGAAAGUGGACGUAUACGGUGUGACGCCUGCCCGGUGCCGGAAGGUUAAUUGAUGGGGUCAGCCGCAAGGCGAAGCUCUUGAUCGAAGCCCCGGUAAACGGCGGCCGUAACUAUAACGGUCCUAAGGUAGCGAAAUUCCUUGUCGGGUAAGUUCCGACCUGCACGAAUGGCGUAAUGAUGGCCAGGCUGUCUCCACCCGAGACUCAGUGAAAUUGAACUCGCUGUGAAGAUGCAGUGUACCCGCGGCAAGACGGAAAGACCCCGUGAACCUUUACUAUAGCUUGACACUGAACCUUGAGCCUUGAUGUGUAGGAUAGGUGGGAGGCUUUGAAGUGUGGACGCCAGUCUGCAUGGAGCCGACCUUGAAAUACCACCCUUUAAUGUUUGAUGUUCUAACGUGGGCCCCUGAACGGGGUUGCGGACAGUGUCUGGUGGGUAGUUUGACUGGGGCGGUCUCCUCCCAAAGAGUAACGGAGGAGCACGAAGGUUAGCUAAUCCUGGUCGGACAUCAGGAGGUUAGUGCAAAGGCAUAAGCUAGCUUGACUGCGAGAGUGACGGCUCGAGCAGGUGCGAAAGCAGGUCUUAGUGAUCCG
rnacentral:rRNA from 1 species